UCAAUACUCCCUCCGUCCGUAAAUACUUGUCAUCAAAAUGAAUAAAAGAAGAUGUAUUUAGAUGUAUUUUAGUUCUAGAUAUAUCUCUUUUUGUCCAUUUUGAUGACAAGUAUUUUCGGACGGAGGAAGUAACAU
rnacentral:pre_miRNA from 1 species